rnacentral:rRNA from 1 species
GAUGAACGCUGGCGGCGUGCCUAAUACAUGCAAGUCGAGCGAACGGACGAGAAGCUUGCUUCUCUGAUGUUAGCGGCGGACGGGUGAGUAACACGUGGAUAACCUACCUAUAAGACUGGGAUAACUUCGGGAAACCGGAGCUAAUACCGGAUAAUAUUUUGAACCGCAUGGUUCAAAAGUGAAAGACGGUCUUGCUGUCACUUAUAGAUGGAUCCGCGCUGCAUCAGCUAGUUGGUAAGGUAACGGCUUACCAAGGCAACGAUGCAUAGCCGACCUGAGAGGGUGAUCGGCCACACUGGAACUGAGACACGGUCCAGACUCCUACGGGAGGCAGCAGUAGGGAAUCUUCCGCAAUGGGCGAAAGCCUGACGGAGCAACGCCGCGUGAGUGAUGAAGGUCUUCGGAUCGUAAAACUCUGUUAUUAGGGAAGAACAUAUGUGUAAGUAACUGUGCACAUCUUGACGGUACCUAAUAAGAAAGCCACGGCUAACUACGUG